rnacentral:rRNA from 1 species
GACCGAUAGUGAACCAGUACCGUGAGGGAAAGGCGAAAAGAACCCCGGCGAGGGGAGUGAAAAAGAACCUGAAACCGUGUACGUACAAGCAGUGGGAGCCUCUUUUAUGGGGUGACUGCGUACCUUUUGUAUAAUGGGUCAGCGACUUAUAUUCUGUAGCAAGGUUAACCGAAUAGGGGAGCCGAAGGGAAACCGAGUCUUAACCGGGCGUUAAGUUGCAGGGUAUAGACCCGAAACCCGGUGAUCUAGCCAUGGGCAGGUUGAAGGUUGGGUAACACUAACUGGAGGACCGAACCGACUAAUGUUGAAAAAUUAGCGGAUGACUUGUGGCUGGGGGUGAAAGGCCAAUCAAACCGGGAGAUAGCUGGUUCUCCCCGAAAGCUAUUUAGGUAGCGCCUCGUGAAUUCAUCUCCGGGGGUAGAGCACUGUUUCGGCAAGGGGGUCAUCCCGACUUACCAACCCGAUGCAAACUGCGAAUACCGGAGAAUGUUAUCACGGGAGACACACGGCGGGUGCUAACGUCCGUCGUGAAGAGGGAAACAACCCAGACCGCCAGCUAAGGUCCCAAAGUCAUGGUUAAGUGGGAAACGAUGUGGGAAGGCCCAGACAGCCAGGAUGUUGGCUUAGAAGCAGCCAUCAUUUAAAGAAAGCGUAAUAGCUCACUGGUCGAGUCGGCCUGCGCGGAAGAUGUAACGGGGCUAAACCAUGCACCGAAGCUGCGGCAGCGACACUGUGUGUUGUUGGGUAGGGGAGCGUUCUGUAAGCCUGUGAAGGUGUGCUGUGAGGCAUGCUGGAGGUAUCAGAAGUGCGAAUGCUGACAUAAGUAACGAUAAAGCGGGUGAAAAGCCCGCUCGCCGGAAGACCAAGGGUUCCUGUCCAACGUUAAUCGGGGCAGGGUGAGUCGACCCCUAAGGCGAGGCCGAAAGGCGUAGUCGAUGGGAAACAGGUUAAUAUUCCUGUACUUGGUGUUACUGCGAAGGGGGGACGGAGAAGGCUAUGUUGGCCGGGCGACGGUUGUCCCGGUUUAAGCGUGUAGGCUGGUUUUCCAGGCAAAUCCGGAAAAUCAAGGCUGAGGCGUGAUGACGAGGCACUACGGUGCUGAAGCAACAAAUGCCCUGCUUCCAGGAAAAGCCUCUAAGCAUCAGGUAACAUCAAAUCGUACCCCAAACCGACACAGGUGGUCAGGUAGAGAAUACCAAGGCGCUUGAGAGAACUCGGGUGAAGGAACUAGGCAAAAUGGUGCCGUAACUUCGGGAGAAGGCACGCUGAUAUGUAGGUGAAGUCCCUCGCGGAUGGAGCUGAAAUCAGUCGAAGAUACCAGCUGGCUGCAACUGUUUAUUAAAAACACAGCACUGUGCAAACACGAAAGUGGACGUAUACGGUGUGACGCCUGCCCGGUGCCGGAAGGUUAAUUGAUGGGGUCAGCGCAAGCGAAGCUCUUGAUCGAAGCCCCGGUAAACGGCGGCCGUAACUAUAACGGUCCUAAGGUAGCGAAAUUCCUUGUCGGGUAAGUUCCGACCUGCACGAAUGGCGUAAUGAUGGCCAGGCUGUCUCCACCCGAGACUCAGUGAAAUUGAACUCGCUGUGAAGAUGCAGUGUACCCGCGGCAAGACGGAAAGACCCCGUGAACCUUUACUAUAGCUUGACACUGAACAUUGAGCCUUGAUGUGUAGGAUAGGUGGGAGGCUUUGAAGUGUGGACGCCAGUCUGCAUGGAGCCGACCUUGAAAUACCACCCUUUAAUGUUUGAUGUUCUAACGUGGACCCGUGAUCCGGGUUGCGGACAGUGUCUGGUGGGUAGUUUGACUGGGGCGGUCUCCUCCUAAAGAGUAACGGAGGAGCACGAAGGUUGGCUAAUCCUGGUCGGACAUCAGGAGGUUAGUGCAAUGGCAUAAGCCAGCUUGACUGCGAGCGUGACGGCGCGAGCAGGUGCGAAAGCAGGUCAUAGUGAUCCGGUGGUUCUGAAUGGAAGGGCCAUCGCUCAACGGAUAAAAGGUACUCCGGGGAUAACAGGCUGAUACCGCCCAAGAGUUCAUAUCGACGGCGGUGUUUGGCACCUCGAUGUCGGCUCAUCACAUCCUGGGGCUGAAGUAGGUCCCAAGGGUAUGGCUGUUCGCCAUUUAAAGUGGUACGCGAGCUGGGUUUAGAACGUCGUGAGACAGUUCGGUCCCUAUCUGCCGUGGGCGCUGGAGAACUGAGGGGGGCUGCUCCUAGUACGAGAGGACCGGAGUGGACGCAUCACUGGUGUUCGGGUUGUCAUGCCAAUGGCACUGCCCGGUAGCUAAAUGCGGAAGAGAUAAGUGCUGAAAGCAUCUAAGCACGAAACUUGCCCCGAGAUGAGUUCUCCCUGACCCUUUAAGGGUCCUGAAGGAACGUUGAAGACGACGACGUUGAUAGGCCGGGUGUGUAAGCGCAGCGAUGCGUUGAGCUAACCGGUACUAAUGAACCGUGAGGCUUAACCUUACAACGCCGAAGGUGUUU